ensembl:lncRNA
AAAUUCAUUCACCUGCACAGAUUAGCUAAACGAACCCUGACAGCCGAGUGCUCAUUUUAGCUAGCUAAGGUCUCAGGACCUAGCUAAGGACGGUAGUUACGGAUUAGCUUACAAACACGUUUAACUUACCGAAAAAGUGCACCGGGGCCUUGGGUCCUUCUGUCGGGUAGUCCAGUUUACUGUACUGAAGAACACCUCAGGCUGUCAGGUCAAAACACUCGGUCGUGUUUUCGUAGCGUAGGCCCUCCUCUCAGAGCCUACGCUCUAUCUGCUAUUCCCGAACAGAGAUACGCAAGUUUCUCCGUGACUGCAGCUGCCAGUCAAAGCUGUUAUGAUGACGUUUCACCCCAAUUUAACAUCAACGCGGUACGAAUUAGAAUCAAACUUAUGGGAAAGGAGACCCCUUGGACAUCAAUCAGCAUGAUGAGAACUAUUGAAAACAAAAGAAAGAAUCUUUGGAAAAAAAAUUAUCUGAGGAGAAUAAAUAAAUUUUAGUCUGACCCCAGUCCCAACCGCUAACAUGGAGGAGGCGGGGUUUAUGACCUAUACUGCAGCCAGACACCAGGGGGCGAUAGAGACGUUUUGGCUUCAUUUAUGGGGAGCUGUCGCGUCGUCCAUGUUUUCUACAGUCAUUGGUUUAUACCGUUACAAAAAAUAAAAAAAAAAUAAAAAUCAUCGGCCCACCUAUGCCCGAAGGCCAGUCCAGCUAUGGCUGUGCCAUCAGUUGACCCUAGGGUUGCCGACCAGAGGCGGAGCCAGACAUUUGAAACACCCGGGGCUUAGCCCAAAAGGGUAGUAUGCAUGUGGGAUUUUUUUUUUUUUUUUGGGGGGGGGGGGGGGGGUUAGAAAUGAGUGAAAGAUUAAUAGGCUCUGUUUUGAGUUUUGUUCAAAAAAGAAUGUCUUCUUAUAGGGAAAAAUAUAUAUCACAUGUGCAGGACACCUUAAACUAGUUUUUUAAUUAAGCAGCGAGGCAGAACAAAGUCAGGGCUGUAUCAAGACAUGAGGACUAAACCCCAAUUCAACCAGACCCAGAACUGAUCCAGAAUUAAAACAGGACUACAAGAGUUCAAAAUCAGGAGUACUUGGGAUUUAACCAAGACAGAACCACAAUCAGAACUAGAUGAUAGUAGCACUAAAAAUCAUCAUAGACCUGCACUACACUUAUUUAAUUCUACCAAAGUCCACUAUUUAGAUUGAGAAAAGUUUAUAUAAUUAUUUAGCCUUGUUGUGCAAACAAG